rnacentral:rRNA from 1 species
CAGUCGCCGCGGGAAUACGUAGGGGGCAAGCGUUAUCCGGAAUAACUGGGCGUAAAGGGUGCGCAGGUGGUUUAACAAGUUAGUGGUGAAAGGCAUAGGCUCAACCAAUGUAAGCCAUUAAAACUGUUUAACUUGAGUGCAGGAGAGGAAAGUGGAAUUCCUAGUGUAGCGGUGAAAUGCGUAGAUAUUAGGAGGAAUACCAGUGGCGAAGGCGACUUUCUGGACUGCAACUGACACUGAGGCACGAAAGCGUGGGGAGCAAACAGGAUUAGAUACCCCCGUAGUCCUUGUCUCUUAUACA